rnacentral:rRNA from 1 species
CGCCUGUUUAUCAAAAACAUCGCCUUUUGAAAUAUACACAUAAAAGGUCCUGCCUGCCCAAUGACUUGUUUUAAUGGCCGCGGUAUCAUGACCGUGCAAAGGUAGCGUAAUCAUUUGUCUUCUAAAUAAAGACCAGUAUGAAUGGCAAGACGAAAGCCUCACUGUCUCCCUAAUCCAGUCAACGAAAUUGAUCUUCCCGUGCAGAAGCGGGAAUAAUAAUAUAAGACGAGAAGACCCUGCGGAGCUUUAAACUCUAAUUAACAAUAAUAAUGCUUUAAUAACCAGUUUUAGGUUGGGGCGACCAUGAGGUAUAACACAACCCUCACGACAAUUAACCAAGAAGGACACUUCAAACAACUAUCAUUAGCACUUGACCCAACAAUUGAUCAACGAACCAAGUUACCCCAGGGAUAACAGCGCAAUCCGCUCAAAAAGUCCUUAUUAACGAGCAGGUUUACGACCUCGAUGUUGGAUCAGGACACCCAAAUAGUGCAACAGCCAUUAAAGGUUCGUUUGUUCAACGAUUAAAGUCCUACGUGAUCUGAGUUCAGACCGGAGGU